CCUACGGGAGGCAGCAGUGGGGAAUAUUGCACAAUGGGGGAAACCCUGAUGCAGCGACGCCGCGUGAAGGAAGAAGUAUUUCGGUAUGUAAACUUCUAUCAGCAGGGAAGAAAAUGACGGUACCUGACUAAGAAGCCCCGGCUAACUACGUGCCAGCAGCCGCGGUAAUACGUAGGGGGCAAGCGUUAUCCGGAUUUACUGGGUGUAAAGGGAGCGUAGGCGGCGAUGCAAGUCAGAAGUGAAAGCCCGGGGCUCAACCCCGGGACUGCUUUUGAAACUGUGUUGCUAGAGUGCAGGAGAGGUAAGUGGAAUUCCUAGUGUAGCGGUGAAAUGCGUAGAUAUUAGGAGGAACACCAGUGGCGAAGGCGGCUUACUGGACUGUAAAUGACGCUGAGGCUCGAAAGCGUGGGGAGCAAACAGGAUUAGAUACCCUGGUAGUC
rnacentral:rRNA from 1 species